AAAGCGCGCGUAGGCGGCUAAUUAAGUCAAAUGUGAAAUCCCCGAGCUUAACUUGGGAAUUGCAUUCGAUACUGGUUAGCUAGAGUGUGGGAGAGGAUGGUAGAAUUCCAGGUGUAGCGGUGAAAUGCGUAGAGAUCUGGAGGAAUACCGAUGGCGAAGGCAGCCAUCUGGCCUAACACUGACGCUGAGGUGCGAAAGCAUGGGGAGCAAACAGGAUUAGAUACCCUGGU
rnacentral:rRNA from 1 species